rnacentral:SRP_RNA from 1 species
GGUGGGGAUGAUGGUACAUACCUGUAAUCUCAGCUCCUAAAGAGGCUGACACUAGUGGAUCUCUUAAAUUCAGCAGUUCUGAGGAGUUGCAUAAAUUAGGCCAAUUGGGUGUCUGCACUAUAUUUGGCAUCAAUAUGGUGAGCCCCUGAAAGUGAGAAGUCAUCAGAUUGCCUAAGUAGGGCAAACCAGCCCAGGUCAGAAACAGAGCAGGUCAAAGCAGUGGGGUUGAGCCCCUGAUUAGCUCCUGUGCUUCUAGUCUGGAUCAGAUGGGGAAAUCCC